rnacentral:rRNA from 1 species
UACGGGGGGGGCUAGCGUUGUUCGGAAUUACUGGGCGUAAAGGGCGCGUAGGCGGUCUAUAAGUUGGAUGUGAAAACUCUGGGCUUAACCCAGAGCCUGCAUUCAAAACUGAUAGGCUGGAGUUCUGGAGGGGAUAGCGGAAUUCCUGGUGUAGCGGUGAAAUGCGUAGAUAUCAGGAGGAACACCCGUGGCGAAGGCGGCUCUCUGGGACGGUACUGACGCUGAGACGCGAAAGCGUGGGGAGCGAACAGG